AUUGAACGCUGGCGGCAUGCUUUACACAUGCAAGUCGAACGGUAACAGGCCGCAAGGUGCUGACGAGUGGCGAACGGGUGAGUAAUGCAUCGGAACGUGCCCAGUCGUGGGGGAUAACGCAGCGAAAGCUGUGCUAAUACCGCAUACGAUCUAUGGAUGAAAGCGGGGGACCGUAAGGCCUCGCGCGAUUGGAGCGGCCGAUGGCAGAUUAGGUAGUUGGGGGGGUAAAGGCCUACCAAGCCGACGAUGUGUAGCUGGUCUGAGAGGACGACCAGCCACGCUGGGACUGAGACACGGCCCAGACUCCUACGGGAGGCAGCAGUGGGGAAUUUUGGACAAUGGGCGCAAGCCUGAUCCAGCAAUGCCGCGUGCAGGAAGAAGGCCUUCGGGUUGUAAACUGCUUUUGUACGGAACGAAACGGUCUGGGUUAAUACCCUGGGCUAAUGACGGUACCGUAAGAAUAAGCACCGGCUAACUACGUGCCAGCAGCCGCGGUAAAAC
rnacentral:rRNA from 1 species